rnacentral:pre_miRNA from 1 species
CUUAUACUCCCUCCGUCCGGAAAUACUUGUCAUCAAAAUGGAUAAAAGGGGAUGUAUCUAGACAUAUUUUAGUUCUAGAUACAUCUUUUUUUAUCCAUUUUGAUGACAAGUAUUUUCGGACGGAGGAAGUAUUUU